rnacentral:rRNA from 1 species
UACGUAGGGGGCGAGCGUUGUUCGGAAUUAUUGGGCGUAAAGCGCGUGUAGGCGGUUCGGUAAGGCGGAUGUGAAAACCCGGGGCUCAACCCCGGGCCGGCAUCCGCGACUGCCGGGCUGGAGUACGGGAGGGGAGAGCGGAAUUCCUGGUGUAGCGGUGAAAUGCGUAGAUAUCAGGAGGAACACCGGUGGCGAAGGCGGCUCUCUGGACCGUAACUGACGCUGAGACGCGAAAGCUAGGGGAGCAAACAGG